rnacentral:lncRNA from 1 species
UCUUUCAAUAUGUAGCAAGUUGUUUUUGGCUGAAAUAUGUAGGUUUGAGGAACCACGAGUUUUAGGAAGUCAAGCAAACAAAUAAGGCAUUCUAAGACCACCUGGGAUUUAUGUAUUAUAAGCAACUAGAACAAGAGCCUGGGGUCACUUACCCAAAAAAAAGAAGAAAAAAACAAGAGCCUGGGGUCUGAUUGUACUUCUAGCAAUAUUAAGGUACGCUUGAUGUGUAUUUACAUUCUCUCAUAUAUGAUGUGAUCCUCACGGGGGAUUCACGAUUAGGUGAGACGAGAGUAUAAACCAGAUAAUGUCAAAGGGGGGAAAAUAAGAGGAACUUACAAAUCUGAGUAACUCGAAUUGAUUUAUUUGGUGAACUAGGUUCCUUUAUUUAUCUCCUUGUGGAUGUACUUUUUGGCUUCUUGAUACGGCAUUCGUCUAAUUUAGAAAAAGAAUGUUGCGUUCAGAACAUAAUAUCUGUACACUAAUGGGCCAUGCUUGAUAUUUUCCUGCUCAAGCCUCGUAACAAUAAAGUGGAACAAAGUUCUCUCUAUGAUAAUACUAUCUAUGAAUCAGUAAUGAGCAAUUACCCUAUUGCUUCUCCAACUUUAACCUGGUUUGAACCCAAUGCUUAUGCCCAUUGAACUAGAGCAGUAUCAAUCACUAUGAACUAGCAGGCAUUUCCACAUCAGUUACGCUCAUAUUUCUUUUCAAACUGCCCAGUAAGAUGUCUCUUCACAAAAUUCGUUUUACCUGCACAAAGGAACGGACUGCGCUCAGCCUGCCAUCCAUUGCUUGACACUAGAAAGAAAAGAUACACCCCAUGGCUUCUGUGUCGUGACAAAUGAAGAAGAUCGCAAAACCGCUUCUCGUCUGACACCGUUCGUUUUGGACAAAUCCCCAGAAAUUGUGUAAAAACAUACUGCUCGCCACUUCAAAUGGUAAAUCCUCUAUCUUCGAGGAUAUAGCCACGAGCAUGUUACAUUUUCCUGAUCCCGACCACUAAAAUAACUAGACCGAAGCCUAAUUUAUCACAACAGCAUAUGCACCUUGUUAUAUAUACACAGCGACGAAUGAUUGAAUCAAUACCAGUAAAACAGAGCACGCCAGCGACAAAUUACAUGUGCCUUGAUUCAAUACCAGUAAAACAGAGCACGCCAACGACAAAUUACAUGUGCCUCCAUCGCCAACAAUGAGAAGCUUGAAGCUUGGCUGAUCGAAGAGAGGGAGAGAAUCGAAUGCGUUCGGAGCAGCGAGGCGUGGUGGGAGAGGAGACAGCAGUGUAGGUUUUAAGAGGAGGGAAAGCGAUGGGAGAAUAGAGCCUAGAACUUGAAAACCGAAUCUGUGGAAAUUUUCCCAGUUAUAGAUUUCAAAAAUUAAAGAAUCUGUUUCGACGCGUAGUUUUCAGAUUCUAGGUUGGUGGAACUUACAUUGAUAUAUAUCUUUAUACGAUCCUACAGUAUUUCAUGACAUUUAAUGAUAAGUGCAUAAUCUGGAACCACUAAUCUGAGCUUCCAUUUUAUAACUAAGACUUUUACAAUAUAAAUCAUGAUCAGUAUUAUAGCAGUAAUUGGUGGUAAUUAAAAGUUAUAGUUCAUUGCAAUCAUUCGAUUAAUAAUUAUAGGUAGAGCUUGGAUAGAUCCAGGAACUGUGACGGGAUAGGUUCUGGCUCUCAAAAAAUGAGGAAAUUAUUCUAAUGAGUAGGUUUACCUGAAAUUUAUACGGAAUCUCAAAGUGCUCAUUCGGGGAUAAGAGGAGGAAUGAGAAGAAAGCCGACGGGCAUUUUUUUUCUUUUUUUUGUCGAGCAUUGCUUUAAGUUGACGCUACCGUCUCCCCUGUCAGAUUCGAUUACCUUCUUACAAGCAGUGUUCUAGAAUAUGUUGACCGUCCGAUCAUUACAGACUCCUGGUUGAACUUCCCCCCCUCCAUGUUCCUAAAUUUCGAGGGAGUGAGGAAAUUUUUGAAGAAUAUAUAAAAACAGAAUUUCACGUUCUUCUCAGUUUUCAGGGAAUUUCAUUCCCUCUUUGUGUGAGAGAGGUAAGGGAACGAAAAUUUUAAAUGAAAAGCAAUGAAAAAUUUAAAAUUUUAGAUUAUUUCCUCCCUCCAAUUGCCAAAACAAAGCUCGGUGGUAGGCUAUCUUAAUCAAUUCUGGCAUACUAGAUCAAAUGAUUCCUUAUCAAAGAUAGACGGUUUGAACCAAAACAAAGAAAAUUCAUAAAUAAUUAACCAAUCAUGACCGGAGACAAUUCGCCCUUAGUAAAACUGGAAUUAAAAAGUGUUUUAGGGCCAUUGAUGAAGGUCGACUUUUACAAGGCAAUCGAAAUAUAGACCGUCAAAUUGAAGAGAUCAAGUAUCCAAACAUUUGAUGAUAAAAUAUUGUCUAUGGUUGAAUUGAAAAUAACUCUUUAUCAAUUGUCGGAUUGCAAAAUAGACAAAAUUACAGUGAAAUUCUCCCAUAGACACCCAAGAAAGAAAAAUGAUUUUAGGGAACCAAAAUUUGAAUGAAAAGCAUGAAAAAAUUUAAAAUUUUGCCCAUAAUUUCCUCCUCUCCCAUUGCUGAACAAAGCCGUGUUGCAAGGUAACUUAAUCAAUUUUGACACUCUAAAUUGAAUAUUCCUUAUCAAAAAUAGACCAUCUACCCCAACACCAAAUUUUUUUUACAAAUAAUCACUCGAUCAUGACCAGAGACAAUUUGCCCUUAGUGAAACCUGAAAUUAGAAAGUGUUCUAGGGCCAUUGAUUAAGUUCAACUUUUGCAAGGCAAACAGAAGGAAGAGAUCAGGUAUCCAAAUGUUGGAUGUUAAAGUAAUGUCCAUCAUCGGACCAACAAUGACUCAUUAUCAAUUGUUGGAUGUGUAACGACAAAAUUACGGUGAAAUUCUCCAAAGACACCAAAGAAAGAAAACUAAUUUUAAGGAACGGAGUAUGCAUCAUUCAAUAUUUGUAAGACCUCCGACGAUUCGUGCUUGCUCAGUCCAAGUUUUUUGAAGCUUUGCUCGUGCCAUGCCACUGUGCCCGUGCAAAAAUGGGCAGUGGAUGAAUAUUUUUCGCCCGAUUUUGUCUCCUUAGAUUAUGUGUUCAAUUGGUCAUUUGUCGUUUUAAAGCACACUUAAUUGUAGUAUCGAUGGAUUCUCGAGAUGCAAACUUUGAUAAGAUGUAAUAGCACGCAUAGUAAUUUAUUGCGUUUCUUUUGAGAGAAUUGUGCCAAGAGUUGUAAAUCCUAUGUAUGAAAUGCGUUUAAAUUCUAAAUCUUUUAAUUGGUCCAGUCGUGUGUGAAAUCAACAUCAACGCCAUGGGUCCCACUUCCCAUCUCCCCGUCUUUUAGGUCAGGGUGCUUUCAAUUCGCAAAUUGAGGUUGUCGUUAGCUGCUUGUUUUUACCGGUUAGAUCAUCGGCUCGCCGUUGAAAUAUGCAUUAUUAACGUGGGUUUGGAGGUACUUGUUUAUUAGUUGCAUACGCUACAAGGUUGGAGCGGCAAGUGAUACGCUUCACUUUCUCCCGAUCGUGUGAAUUAUCAAGUAAGCGGGGAUUUGAUGUUCGUGAUGACGACGAGCAAAGGCUAUUUCGUUUUUUGGUGCUUGUGAUGACGACGUGCAAAGGCUAUUUCGUGUUCUCAUUGAGCGUAUGUUGGUUUUUUCAAUCUGCACACUUAGCGCUUGUUUUCGUGUUUGAUAUAAGUAAAGAAUCUUUUUCUCGCGUGGGACUCGUGGAGCUUGUAAUUUUGCACUUGUAAUUUGUCGUGUUAUAAAAUUUUAGCUCGACCCAUAGAGCAGAUACAUGUGCACUUCGCUAAUUAUUAUGAUUCUUUAAUUCGUCAUAUUUUGUUAUUUUACUCUUUUUUUUUUUAAUUUGACAUAAAAUUUUAACCAAGUAACACAUUAACAUAAAGAGCCUAAAGUAGUUAAAUGGAUGCAUUACAGCAAUAUAAAUCGGGUCGAGUGCAAAUUAUCAAAAUUGUAUUGCAUAAGAAUGGAUCAAUGCAAAUUAAAUGAAUUAAUUUAGAUCGGACCAUCUUCAAACCAACCCGCCUAUUUAACACCCUCGACAGCAUCCAUGUACUGCAAUUAUCUAAAAAAAUAUGUAUGCUGUUAACUAUCAAUACAUGUUUGCCGAAAUUGAGGUCGAUUUGAUAAAUCAAGCGGAAACAAUUAUGUAAUUUAGCAAAACCAAAAAAGUGAGAACAUCUCCCAUCCCCAAUGUAGAACUCCAAAAUCGCGAGGAUGCAGGCUGAAACCACCUGCCGUCUCGAAUGCCCAUUACUGUCUCCAAGCCUAAAAACUGGUUUUCUAGCGCCAUCGGGAAGUGGCCGAAUAGCUGCUUCAGCAAGUUCUGCCUCAUGCCUGUUCGAGACAACAACCACCGUAGGUCAGCCGUCAGUUGAGAAGAGGUUUACAUCAAACUAGCUACACAACUUUGACCCCAAAUAAAAGAAAACUAGCUACAGAACAAUUUACGAAAAAGACAAAAUAGUGUGACCACGCGACGCCACCCCACGCGAGACUGACGGGACAAUAACCGCCCCUCUUAUGUUUUUAAAAAAAGACACUGGCCACAGAAUACUUAUUAUAUCUGUGACCCCACGACCAUGACCUAAAGUGAGUCAACGUCAACCCUCCCCUCUCUUAUGUUUUUAAAAAAAGACACUGGCCACAGAAUACUUAUUAUAUCUGUGACCCCACGACGAUGACCUAAAGUGAGUCAACGUCAACCCUCCCCUCUCUUAUGUUUUUAAAAAAAGACACUGGCCACAGAAUACUUAUUAUAUCUGUAUCUGUGACCCCACGACCAUGACCUAAAGUGAGUCAACGUCAACCCUCCCCUCUCUUAUGUUUUUAAAAAAAGACACUGGCCACAGAAUACUUAUUAUAUCUGUGACCCCACGACCAUGACCUAAAGUGAGUCAACGUCAACCCUCCCCUCUCUUAUGUUUUUAAAAAAAGACACUGGCCACAGAAUACUUAUUAUAUCUGUGACCCCACGACCAUGACCUAAAGUGAGUCAACGUCAACGUCAACCCUCCCCUCUCUUAUGUUUUUAAAAAAAGACACUGGCCACAGAAUACUUAUUAUAUCUGUGACCCCACGACCAUGACCUAAAUUGGGAGAAUACUAUUAUAUCUGUGACCCAACAAAAAGAUCAGACAGACCGGACAGGCAACCACAGCUACAAUUACCACUCCAUAAUACAAACCGCAUCAUUCGCAAGCACCAUUGUGAUUUAUUUUGCAUCCAGAAGGGAGAGGGGGAGGACGAAGGGCAGGACGCACGACAACACGACUAUAAAGCAGAUAAUAUAGGCCGAGAUUCUUACUGCUGCUGUGGGGCAAAGUCCAUGUGCACAGCCGGAGGAGCAAGAGCAGGAAGCUCAACAAAGUGCAGAUUUGGAUCCCUGCGUUUACCACAACAAAUGAUUAGCUACUAGACCAAAACAACCUUUGCAAACAGGAUUUGCACGUUUUGCUCAAGUACCCGACAAGUUCUCUGGCGAGGUAGAGGAAGGGUUCCUCUAAGUUGUACAUGUUCCUCGCAGAAAUCUCAUAGUGCUGCAAAUUAUUCCUACACCCAAAUGUAAACUGCCUUGCUUCAACUUGCCUAUUCUCCCCAUCUACCUUGUUUCCACAGAGAACGAUAGGUAUAUUCUCACAGACCCUAUUAAAUUAAUGGGUAAUUAGUGAGAUAUAGCACCAUCAAAAACUGUAAUGCGAGAACAAAUACAACGGUCGCCGGCAUGUCUAAUCUACCUGCAGAGAUCGCGAUGCCAUCCAGGAACAUUCAUGUAUGUCGAUCCAGCAGUGACAUCGAACAUGAUAAUUGCGCACUGGCCACGAAUGCUGCAGAAGAACGAACAAAAGUUUGAAAUUUGGAUACCCACAGACACAGGAGGGAGAGGGAAUCCCUCACCCACAAGCAAGGUUAAAAUGUGAAUAAAGGAAAUCGCCACAUUCAGAAGACCACUCUAACACCGCCAGCAUUAAGUACAAGACGCAGUCCGAAGAUGAGGUUUAAAGAGAUACGACUGACAUAAAUUUUACCAACUUCAAACAAAAUCAGAACUAAGGACAACCCUGAAACAGAUAUGCACCCUUUACGGUGGAAAUUUUUUUGCAAAAAUACUCGCUUCUUCCUCCACAACUUUACAAAUAAGAAUUGACCGCACCACUAUCAAGUGAUAAUAGUUAUCCUUAGUAAAACCCAGACAGUUGAAUAAACUACCAACCAAAAUAUAGCUACCCCGUAAUUAAAGCAUUGUAAAAUACGAGCUCAACACAACAUUUUGCUUCCUAUUAUCACUGAAUUCACAAGAACAUAAACUGGAAUCUGAAAAAUCCUUCCACUGAUUUAUAAAGCAAGGAAAUUCUAAGACAGAACUCUCUUUACUCACUAAUAUUUAUCUCUUAGACCCUGCCCUGGAGUAUCCCAGCAGUUAAACCGGAUCGUCCCCUUGUUUGUGAGGAAAUCCAGAGGAUAGAAUUCGACGCCAGUAGUUGCUGUUAUGCACAAGGACAAUACCAGAAGAUUAGUACAGACUAAACAAUAUGAUAUUCUAAUGACAUCAAAAAAAGAAAAGAAAAGGAAAUAACAGGCAUUUCCACAUCGCUUACGCUCAUAUCUGUUUUCAAACUCCCCAGGAAUAAGUCUCUUCAGAAAAGUCGUUUUGCCUGCACAAAGGAACGGACUACGCUCAGUCUGCUAUCCCUUCCUUGACACUAGAAAGAAAAGAUAUAUCAUCUCAUGGCUUCUACAUCGUGACAAAUGAAGAAGAUCGCAAAACCACUUUUUUGUCUGACACCCUUCGAUUUCAGACGAAUCCCCAGAAAUUGUGGAAAAACAUGCUGUUCGCCACUCCAAAUGGUAAAUCCUCUUCAAGGAUAUAGCCAUAAGCAUGUUAUAUUUUCCUGAUCCAGACCAGUAAAAUAACUAGAGCAAAACCCUAAUUUAUCACGACAGCAUAUGCGCCUGUUCUGUAUACAAAGUAACGAGCGAUUGAAUCAAAACUGGUAAAACAGAGCACGCCCGUGACAAUUACCUGUGCCAGGAUCGCCGACCAUGAGGAGCUUGAAGCCCGGGUGAUUGAACAUCGGCUGAUUUGGCAAAGCCUGAAAGCCCAUGUGCACUUCCGGAGGGGCAAGAGCAGGAGGCUCAACAAAGUGCAGAUUUGGAUCCCUGCGUUUACCACAACAAAUGAUUAGCUACUAGACCAAAACAACCUUUGCAAACAGGAUUUGCACGUUUUGCUCAAGUACCCGACAAGUUCUCUGGCGAGGUAGAGGAAGGGUUCCUCUAAGUUGUACAUGCUCCUUGCAGAAAUUUCAAAGUGCGGCGAAUUAUUGCUCCACCCGUAUGUAAACUGCCUUGCUUCAAGUUGCCUAUUCUGCACAUCUACCUUGUUUCCACAGAGAACGAUAGGUAUAUUCUCACAGACCCUAUUAAAUUAAUGGGUAAUUAGCGAGAUAUAGCACCAUCAAAAACUGUAAUGCGAGAACAAAUACAAAGGUCGCCAGCAUGUCUAAUCUACCUGCAGAGAUCGCGAUGCCAUCCAGGAACAUUCAUGUAUGUCGAUCCAGCAGUGACAUCGAACAUGAUAAUUGCACACUGGCCACGAAUGCUGCAGAACAACGAACGAAAGUUUGAAAUUUGGAUACCCACAGACACAGGAGGGAGAGGGAAUCCCUCACCCACAAGCAAGGUUAAAAUGUGAAUAAAGGAAAUCGCCACAUUCAGAAGACCACUCUAACAUCACCAGCAUUAAGUACAAGACGCAGUCCGAAAAUAAGGUUUAAAGAGAUACGACUGACAUAAAUUUUACCAACUUCAAACAAAAUCAGAACUAAGGACAACCCUGAAACAGAUAUGCACCCUUUACGGUGGAAAUUUUUUUGCAAAAAUACUUGCUUCUUCCUCCACAACUUCACAAAUAAGAAUCGACUGCACCACUAUCAAGUGAUAAUAGUUAUCCUUAGUAAAACCCAGAUGGUUGAAUAUACUACCAACCAAAAUAUAGCUACCCCGUAAUUAAAGCAUUGUAAAAUACAAGCUCAACACAACAUUUUUCUUCCUAUUAUCUUUGAAUUCACAAGAACGUAUACUGGAAUCUGAAAAAUCCUUCCACUGAUUCAUAAAGCAAGGAAAUUCUAAGACAGAACUCUCUUUACUCACUAAUAUCCAUCUCUUAGACCCUGCCCUGGAGUAUCCGAGCAGUCAAACCGGAUCAUCCCCCGGUUUGUGAAGAAAAGCAGAGGAUAGACUUUGACGCCAGUAGUUGCUGUUAUGCGCAAGGACAAUUCCAGAAGAUUAGUACAGACUAAACAAUAUGAUAUUCUAAUGACAUCAAAAAAAAAAAAAAGGAAAGGAAAUAACAGGCAUUUCCACAUCGCUUACGCUCAUAUAUCUCUUCAAAGUCCUCACGAAGAAGUCUCUUCACAAAAGUCGUUUUGCCUGCACAAAGGAACGGACUACGCUCAGUCUGCUAUCCCUUGCUUGACACUAGAAAGAAAAGAUAUAUCAUCUCAUGGCUUCUACAUCGCGACAAAUGAAGAAGAUCGCAAAAACCACUUUUUGUCUGACACCCUUCGAUUUCAGACAAAUCCCCAGAAAUUGUGGAAAAACAUGCUGUCCGCCACUCCAAAUGGUAAAUCCUCUUCAAGGAUAUAUAGCCAUAAGCAUGUUAUAUUUUCCUGAUCCCGACCAGUAAAAUAACUAGAGCAAACCCUAAUUUAGCACGACAGCAAAUGCACCUGUUCUGUAUACAAAGUAACGAGCGAUUGAAUCAAAACUGGUAAAAACAGAGCACGCCAGUGACAAUUACCUGUGCCCUCAUCGCCAACGAUGAGAAGCUUGAAGCCCGGGUGAUUGAACAUCGGCUGAUUCGACAAAGCCUGAAAGAGACGCGCAAGGGAAACAACAACAAUUAAAACAACAAAAACCAAAUGAGAUCAAAAAAAUCCAAACUUUGCGAUCACGUAAAACCAGAUCGCUCAGCUCCAGAACCCCCAAAAGAAACAGCAUCUGACCAGGACCCAAAAGCUCGAGAAGAAUCACAAAAAGAAUCGAGAUUCAAGAAGACCCAGCAACAACGAGAACACGAGUUAUCUAUCCAUAUAAGAAUGGACGCGUGGAAAAUGGGAUGAUGAAAAGGAAAGAAAAGCACACGGGUUCGACUUUUGGGGAAUAAAGGGAUUUUCCGAAGGUAAAGGUAACUUAGCAUAAAUAUCGUUUGGUAAAAUCCACAAAUGAGCUUUUGCUUUUUUCUUUUAUUUUUUAAUCUCAAAAUUAAAUCCGGCGGCCGGCUAACCACCGGCCAACUGCCGGACGGCCAGAUCUGGCCGCCUGAGGUCGCGACCUCAGGCGACCUCAGGCGACGCCGCCUGGAUCUGGCCGCCUGAGGUCUCGAUCUCAGGCCACGCCGUCUGGAUCUGGCCGUCCGGCGGCCAGAGGUCGCGACCUCAAGCGACGCUGUCGUCUACGGUCGCAGAGGCCAGAUCCGGCCGCCGGACGGCCAGGUCUGGCCUCCGGACCGCCAGAUCUGGCGGCCUGAGGUCGCGCGGACCCAGGCGGUGACGCCGCCUGGCUCGCGGGUCGCCCCACACUAGGCGGUGGUCACCGGGGACGCGCGACCCCCAGGCGGCGGCGGUGGUUGCCGGAGAAGCCCGACAUAAACCACAUAAACCAACUCACCAUUGAUGAUUGCGAAGAGGGUCGGAGAUUUUGGCGCGUGUCCGAGACAGAGAGAAUCUCGAAUGGGUUCGGAGCAGCAGAGUGAAGUGGGGGAGGAGAGGGCUGACGGCCGUACAGGUAGGAGGUUUUGAUGGAAGGGAAAGCGUGAUUUUCCCUGUUUCUUUUUUUCUUUAGUCUAACAUAGGGGUGAGCAUGGUCCGGGUUGGUCCGGGCCACCCCCUAACCCUAGGACCAACCCGUACAGUGUCGGUCCUCAAUUUUUAGGACCAAGGACCGACCCUAUUGAGCCUAGGACCAAGGAUCGGACCGACCCAAUGGGUUCGGUCCGGUUCCAGGGUCAACCCGGGACCGAUCGAUAAUUUUUUUCGUCUUGUUUUUUAUACUUCCUAAAAAAACAAACUUACAAAUUCAAUUUACACAUCCAUCCACAAUAUGACAUUGUGUAACUAAACUAUAACUACCAAUACAUAUUUAGCAAAUUUAAGAUGACGCAAUAAUAGAAAUUUCAUACCUGCUAACGCUCAUCGAGAUAUGGGACAAGAUAGGGUCCACAAUGCGGCGAGCGGGAUGUUGUUACUUUUGAUUUUGGCAAAUUGAAGAACAAAAAAGACAAAAUGGAAGAGAACGUACUUUGGGGAAGGAAGCCGUGAGGAGAUUUAUGGCGUAAACUUCGCGCCAUUUUGGAUGUCGCGAGUCCGUGACUGUGAGGAGUCCUUGGUCCUCACGGUGAGGAACGUACUCUGGACUGUGGAGGAGGAGGCCGUGAAGACCUUUACGGUGUAAACUUCAUGCCUUUUGGAAUUGGAUGCCGUCUGUUCGUGACUGUGAGCUUGAGGAGUCAACAGCUUUAACAUCAUUUUACUUAGAUUUGAAUAUGUAAAAGAAUUAUAAAUAAUAUAAUAUAAUAUAACAUAAAUUUUACUUAGGUUUGAAUAUAUAAAAGAAUUAUAAAUAAUAUAAUAUAAUAAUAUACAGGGUUGGUCCAGGGUUGGACCGACCCAAAACUCUUAGGACCGAGGACCAACCCGCACAGUGUUGGUCCUGGAAUUUCAGGACCAAGGACCGACCCAGUCCCCUUGGGAACCGGACCAGGACCGGCAGGGUUGGGCCGGUCCAGGGUUGGUCCAGGGUCGACCCUAGACCGCUGCUCACCCCUAGUCUAACAUGGCUUUGAGCCGACGCUGCUGUUCUCCUCCGUUGGAUUGGAUUACUUAGAACCUGCCGACCGUUCGAUCUGUACGUCCCCUCCACGUUCCUAAGGCCCCAUUUGUUUGUGUUUCUUUUUUUUGUUUUUAAACACUUUUUCUGUUUGGAAGCGUUUCUGUUCCUUUUUUGUUCUUUUGUUCCCAGGAACAAAAAAGAAACAGAAACAAGAAACACAAAUUUUGUGUUUCUUGUUUCUGAAACACUUUUGAGAAAUAUUUUUUUUUCUUUUUUCUCUUAUUUUCUUGUUCUUUUUUCUUUUGGCCGGUCGCCGGCCUCGGCCAUGGCCGGCGACUGGACGGCCCCCGGCGAGGCCGAGCCUCGCCGUAGCUGGGCGAGCUCGAGCUCGCCCAGCCAAGGCGAGGCCGCCGGCCCUUGUCGGCCGGUCGCCGGCGGUGGCCGAGGCCGGCGACCAGCGAAAGAAAAAAGAUAGAAAAUAAGAAGAAAAAUAAAAAAGUGUUUCUAAGUUUUGUUUCUAUUUCUUUUUGUUCCUGGGAACAAAAAAACAAAAAAGGAACAAAAACGCACCCAAAUGCGUUUCUGUUCCUAGGAACAGAAAUAGGUGCCAGCCAAACACACCCUAACUCGCCAAACUCCUUCGACUUUUCAUCAAAUUUCAUGCCUCUUUCCGACAGAGGGUCACGGGACGAGAAUUUGAACGAAAAACAAGAAAGAACUUAAAUUUUUAACUAGAAUUAUAUUUUUUUCUUCUUCAACGAGCCGAUUUACAAAACCGCUCGCUUUUUCAAAAAUCAAUAAUCUAAUCGUUACAUUUACAUUAGACAUAAAAUGCAUUAAUUUUCAUUCGGAUCAUUUUCGACCAGACUCUUAACCCAUUGGUUUUGACGGAUCUAAUUCUGGCAUGCUAAAACGAAUGACUCCUUAUUAAAGAUAGAUUAUUCACACCCAAAUAAAUAAAUGAAAAGAUUAAUCUAUUGUGGCCAGAGGUGCUUUCUUGGUCCAAUCUUUUUUUGAAGCUUUCCUUGUGCCAUGCCCCCACGCCGGCGAAAAAAGCCCGUGAGAUGAGGCCUUCCUAAUUUGAAUCCCGCAAUCCAGCAAUUGAACAUCAGUAGAACUCGAAUGAAUGAUUGUGUAAUUGUGGAUAUGUCUUACCCGUGACCUAAGUGAUAAUUCUUUCUUACAUGGCCCGGUUUGAAAAGUGAGCAGCGGAUGAAUGUUUUUCGCCCAAUUUUGUCUACUUAGGUCAUGUUUUCAACUAGUCAUUUGUUGUUUUAAAGCGUGCUUAAUUGUAUUAUGAAUGGAUUUUCGGCCAGUAAAACUUUGAUGAGACAUAGUACCAUGCGUAUACCAUAAGUUCUAAACCCUAUGUACGAAACACAUUCAAAAGCUAAAUCUUAUAAUUGGUUCAAUCAAGUCUUAGACUAUAUCAUGGAGUCUAAUCGAGCUCCAAUUUUUUUUUGAUUGAUCGAUUUUAUUAGAAAGCACAAUAAAGUCCUAAGUCGAGAUAAGAAAGUAGCAGUUCAUAAACCACAAUUGUCUAAGAGAUACGUUGUUAAAUACAAUUUAUAUAUAUGGAAAUUGAAGGUUAAUUCGAUAAAUCAACUAAGAGCAAUUAUGUAAUUUAGCAAAACAAAAAAAUUGGAAGUAAUCUCGUCCCAAUAUAGAACUCCAGAAUCAAAGGGCGCAGACUGAAACGACAUGCCGUCUCGAAUGCUCCUCGCCGUCUCCAAAACCGGAAAACCGCUCCGCCAGCGCCAACUGUAAUAUGAAAACCAAAGAUCAUUUUGAGAUCUGAAUUCUAAACCCAGCAAAACUCGUUUCUGGCUUUCUAGCAAAAAAGAAGACUCUUUUUCUGGUUGAAAACUCCUUUGUUUUCCUGACGAUUCUCUCUCGAGCGUCCGCGCAAAUUUAUCAAUCUCUCUUGAAUGGCCUCACCGUCCGACACCUCCAACCAGUAAGUUCACAAUUCUCGUUUUGUUUUUAAAAAAAAUUUGGGUCUUUUUGAAGCUCAAAGUCUGCAUCUUUCUUGAAUAAUCCGAAUUGAUCGGUUGUGUUAACUCGAGGGUUUUGAUCUUUUUCUUUUUGGUGAUUUGAAAGGGAGGCUGUUGUGAGGAAGCAAAACAAAGGAGCCCCGAUUAAGUUCUUGGUCCCUCUCAUAUACGCCCCUGUUCUUCCUCUCAGUACGUAUGAUGAUCGUUUAGAGUUUGAUUAAAUUUCGCUGGGUUUUCAAUCGUUUCUGUCAUAUCCUAUCUGGGUUUUGUUUUUCUUAUUGAAUUGGCGUUGCAUCGUUGGGAAUCUGGUUUUGCAGUUCGGCUCUCGUUGAGGAGGAACCCGGUGGUGAGGGAUCGUUUGUUUACCCUCGUCUUGGCUGGGGCUUUCGCUCAUGGGUUUUACUUGGUGUAUCCUUUUCCUUGCAUUCUUUUUCUUUUUGUUGCCAUCUCGUGCUUUUGGCUGUUAUUUGUUCAUGUUCAUGGUAUUGAUGGAUUGUGUUUAUUAAAGCAUUUGUCUUUAAAUUAUGUCAAGAUUUUCUGCCAUUGUUCUUCUAUAGAUAAAUGUAUUAGUAUUUUCCAUUGUAUCCAUUUAUUACUGUCUAUUGCAGAUUGAUCCGUCAACGGUUUGUAAUUGUAUAGGAUCUAGAAAAUGGUGGUGUCUUCGUUGGUACAAGAUGUUAAGUCCUUAAUAGGAGUCUCAUUACAGGAGGUUACUAGAUGCAUGUCUUGUAGUGCUUCUGAGCGAGCAGUUUCAUCCUCAUGAUCUUCGUGAACUGAGGAUUUGAUGGAUAAGGUGCAAAACCUUAAACGUUAAUGGCCUUGUUUCGCUCUUGAUCCCUUGACAAACUUUGGUAUACAUGCUCUAAUAGCGCUUAGAAAGCCAUUUCAAAGAACUAGUGAUUGAGUUCUUUAGAGCUCCUUUGGAUACUUAGGUGGUGGCAAAUAGGUUUUGAAUCCUCUUAUAAUUGUGAAAUCAAGUCUUCACUUGCACACUACGAGGGAAUGUUUGUCUGAGUGAUGAGCUCUUUCUUUCUGAAAAAAGUAUUAACUUCAAAUGCAUGUCAAGGUCUUCCCAGGAUGUUGGCAUGUAAGGUCUCUAUUCUUCUGCCGCAGAUGAUUUAAGGAUGUGAACUAAGAUGCAGUUUCUUUUAAUAGGUAGCAAGGAGUUUUUGGCUGAAAUCUGUAGGUUUGAGGAGCCUUGUCUUCUAUUGUUUGUGUGGGUCAACAUUUCCAUCCCCAUCUUCUCAUAUAUUAAAUCAAUUCCUCUACCUUGCGUUAUUUGUGGAUGUAGUUUUCCUGCAGGUGUCCCUCAUUGUGUUUGUAGCUUAGCAAUGAGAAAUUUACCUACAAAUUUACAGAAGUUGUCCUUUGCAUUCCACUAUAGCUUGUUAAAUUACUAUAAUUCAUUGAAUUAGGGUGCUUUUUAACCUUCUGGGACUAAGCGAAGAUCUUAUAAUUUUGUGUAGUCUUUCAAUUUUAUUUGUAUGGUUCUUUCAAUAGUAUCGUUGCUUUUCCUUAAUAAACAUUUGCAG